rnacentral:lncRNA from 1 species
GCCUUUCUCUAGUGAAACCUCCCUUUGUCCUCAUCCUUCCUCCUCUGCCAAUCUCACACUCUGGGUUGUGGCGUUGUUUCUACCAGUGACCCCAUUCAACACAUGAUGUUAUGGAACGAGGCAGGGUGGGGACAUCCCAGUCGAGGAUCCUCCUGGAAGCUCUGAAGGAGAGUUUGUUCCUGGUGUCCUGCUUCUCUGCUCUGCCUGGGAGGAUGCUGAAUCAGAACAUUAAAAUAGUCUCUCAACUGAAGCCAAGUAAAGGACUUUUUCAAAUGCCCGGUUUACCUCCAGGUGGCUUAAAUCACAACAGGAAACAAGGUGCCGGCUGCCCAACUCAGCAAACCUGUUUGUUACAAAUAAGUCGACGUUGCCAAGGUGCAUGGAGCCUCCCUGGUGCAGAGGCCUUCACAUCCACGUCCGGCUUGAGUGGGCGAAGUGGCAAAAGCUCUAAUUAUGUUCGGGGAAGCUUCAAGUCCGAAGCAGCAAGCAUCACAGGUCAGAGACCGCUGGGAG